rnacentral:rRNA from 1 species
AUUGAACGCUGGCGGAAGGCCUAACACAUGCAAGUCGAACGAGUGGCGGACGGGUGAGUAAUGUCUGGGAAACUGCCUGAUGGAGGGGGAUAACUACUGGAAACGGUAGCUAAUACCGCAUACCAUCAGAUGUGCCCAGAUGGGAUUAGCUUGUUGGUGGGGUAACGGCUCACCAAGGCGACGAUCCCUAGCUGGUCUGAGAGGAUGACCAGCCCCACUGGAACUGAGACACCGUCCAGACUCCGACGAUAGGCAGCAGUAGCGAAUAUUGCACAAUGGGGGGAAGCCUGAUGCAGACAUGCCGCGUGUAUGAAGAAGCCCUUCGGGUUGUAAAGUACUUUCAGCGGGGAGGCGUUACCCGGAGAAGACGCACCGGCUGAAACCGUGCCAGCCGCCGCGGUAAUAC